UUCCACUGCACGACGAUCUAGCCUGCCCACUGAAUUUUUAAAUGGCCGCAGUAUAUUAACUGUGCAAAGGUAGCAUAAUCAUUAGUCUUUUAAUUGAAGGCUGGAAUGAAUGGUUGGACGAAAUAUUAACUGUUUCAAAUAAAUUUAUUAUAGAAUUUUAUUUUUUAGUCAAAAAGCUAAAAUUUAUUUAAAAGACGAGAAGACCCUAUAAAUCUUAAUAAUUUUCGCUAAAAUAAUAAUAAAGAAUUAUUUUUUUAUUUUAGCGUAAAUUAUUUUAUUGGGGUGAUAUUAAAACUUAAUAAACUUUUAAUUUAUUAAAUCAUUUAUUUAUGAAUAAUUGAUCCAGUUUUACUGAUUAAAAAUUUAAGUUACUUUAGGGAUAACAGCGUAAUUUUUUUGGAGAGUUCAUAUCGAUAAAAAAGAUUGCGACCUCGAUGUUGGAUUAAGAGAUAAAUUUGGGAGUAGUCAUUCAAAUAAUUAAGUCUGUUCGACUUUUAAAUUCUUACGUGAUCUGAGUUCAGACCGGA
rnacentral:rRNA from 1 species